rnacentral:rRNA from 1 species
AGGAAUUGAAUGGCCGCAGUAUUUUAACUGUGCUAAGGUAGCAUAAUCAUUUGUCUUUUAAUUGAGGGCUGGAAUGAAGGGUUGGACGAGGUAUUAACUUUCUUUGAUUUAAUGGGGAGAAUUUAAUUUUUGAGUUAAAAAGCUUAAAUUUAUUUGUGGGACGAGAAGACCCUAUAGAUCUUUAUAGUUUUAUAUUUUAAUAAUUUGGUGAUUUAUUUGUUUUAAGUAGAUGAACUAUUUUGUUGGGGUGACUGUAGAAUUUAAAUAACUUCUAUUAUUUUAUUUCAUUAAUUAAUGUUUUUGUGAUCCAUAUUUUAUGAUUAUAAGAUUAAGUUACCUUAGGGAUAACAGCGUAAUUUCCUCGGAGAGUUCAUAUUGAUGGGGGAGUUUGCGACCUCGAUGUUGGAUUAA